AGAGUGAACGCUGGCGGUAGGCCUAACACAUGCAAGUCGAACGGCAGCACAGGAGAGCUUGCUCUCUGGGUGGCGAGUGGCGGACGGGUGAGGAAUACAUCGGAAUCUACCUUUUCGUGGGGGAUAACGUAGGGAAACUUACGCUAAUACCGCAUAAGACCUUCGGGUGAAAGCCGGGGACCUUCGGGCCUGGCGCGGAUAGAUGAGCCGAUGUCGGAUUAGCUUGUUGGCGGGGUAAAAGCCCACCAAGGCGACGAUCCGUAGCUGGUCUGAGAGGAUGAUCAGCCACACUGGAACUGAGACACGGUCCAGACU
rnacentral:rRNA from 1 species